AGUGAACGCUGGCGGUAGGCCUAACACAUGCAAGUCGAACGGCAGCACAGUAAGAGCUUGCUCUUACGGGUGGCGAGUGGCGGACGGGUGAGGAAUACAUCGGAAUCUACUUUUUCGUGGGGGAUAACGUAGGGAAACUUACGCUAAUACCGCAUACGACCUACGGGUGAAAGCAGGGGAUCUUCGGACCUUGCGCGAUUGAAUGAGCCGAUGUCGGAUUAGCUAGUUGGCGGGGUAAAGGCCCACCAAGGCGACGAUCCGUAGCUGGUCUGAGAGGAUGAUCAGCCACACUGGAACUGAGACACUGUCCAGACUCCUACGGGAGGCAGCAGUGGGGAAUAUUGGACAAUGGGCGCAAGCCUGAUCCAGCCAUACCGCGUGGGUGAAGAAGGCCUUCGGGUUGUAAAGCCCUUUUGUUGGGAAAGAAAAGCAGCAGGUUAAUACCCCGCUGUUCUGACGGUACCCAAAGAAUAAGCACCGGCUAACUUCGUA
rnacentral:rRNA from 1 species